AUACGGAGGAUGCGAGCGUUAUCCGGAUUUAUUGGGUUUAAAGGGUGCGCAGGCGGGCGAUUAAGUCAGCGGUGAAAGGCUCGGGCUCAACCGGAGCAGGGCCGUUGAUACUGGUUGUCUUGAAUGCGGUCAAGGCCGGCGGAAUGUGGCGUGGGGCGGGGAAAUGCAUAGAUAUGCCACAGAACACCGAUAGCGAAGGCAGCUGGCCGGGCCUGCAUUGACGCUGAGGCACGAAAGCGUGGGGAUCGAACAGGAUUAGAUACCCUGGUAGUCCACGCUGUAAACGAUGGACACUCGUUGUCGGCGACAGACAGUCGGCGGCCAAGCGAAAGUGAUAAGUGUCCCACCUGGGGAGUACGGUCGCAAGGCUGAAACUCAAAUGAAUUGGCGGGG
rnacentral:rRNA from 1 species